rnacentral:rRNA from 1 species
GAUGAACGCUAGCGGCAGGCCUAAUACAUGCAAGUCGAACGGUGUCUUCGGACAUAGUGGCGCACGGGUGCGUAACACGUAUGCAACCUACCUUACAUUGGGGGAUAGCCUUUCAAAAGGGAGAUUAAUACCACAUAAGACAGUAGCUGGGCAUCCAGCAGCUGUUAAAGAUUUAUCGAUGUAAGCUGGGCAUGCGUCCAAUUAGCUAGUUGGUGAGGUAACGGCUCACCAAGGCAAUGAUUGGUAGGGGAACUGAGAGGUCAAUCCCCCACACUGGCACUGAGAUACGGGCCAGACUCCUACGGGAGGCAGCGGUAGGGAAUAUUGGGCAAUGGACGCAAGUCUGACCCAGCCAUGCCGCGGGCAGGAUGAAGGCGUUAUGCGUUGUAAACUGCUUUUAUACAGGAAGAAACGACUCUUGCGAGAGGCAUUGACGGUACUGUAUGAAUAAGCACCGGCUAACUCCGUGCCAGCCGCCGCCGUAAUAC